rnacentral:rRNA from 1 species
UACGUAGGGUGCAAGCGUUAAUCGGAAUUACUGGGCGUAAAGCGUGCGCAGGCGGUUUUGUAAGACUGUCGUGAAAUCCCCGGGCUUAACCUGGGAAUGGCGAUGGUGACUGCAAGGCUAGAGUUUGGCAGAGGGGGGUAGAAUCCACGUGUAGCAGUGAAAUGCGUAGAGAUGUGGAGGAACACCGAUGGCGAAGGCAGCCCCCUGGGUCAAAAACUGACGCUCAUGCACGAAAGCGUGGGGAGCAAACAGG